rnacentral:rRNA from 1 species
AUUGAACGCUGGCGGCAGGCCUAAUACAUGCAACUCGAGCGGAUGAAGGGAGCUUGCUCCUGGUUUCAGCGGCGGCCGGGUGCGUAAUGCCUAGGAAUCUGCCUGGUAGUGGGGGAUUAAGUCCGGGAACGGGCGCUAAUACCGCAUACGUCCUGAGGGAGAAAGUGGGGGAUCUUCGGACCUCACGCUAUCAGAUGAGCCUAGGUCGGAUUAGCUAGUUGGUGGGGUAAAGGCCUACCAAGGCGACGAUCCGUAACUGGUCUGAGAGGAUGAUCAGUCACACUGGAACGGAGACACGGUCCAGACUCCUACGGGAGGCAGCAGUGGGGAAUAUUGGACAAUGGGCGAAAGCCUGAUCCAGCCAUGCCGCGUGUGUGAAGAAGGUCUUCGGAUUGUAAAGCACUUUAAGUUGGGAGGAAGGGCAGUAAGUUAAUACCUUGCUGUUUUGACGUUACCAACAGAAUGAGCACCGGCUAACUUCGUG